rnacentral:hammerhead_ribozyme from 1 species
CAGCGAAACCGCCCGCAAGGGUGGUCUGCCGGGCGUGGUGGCCGGCACUGAUGAGCAGCCAGAC